rnacentral:rRNA from 1 species
AAAAAAGGUAAGCUACUAAGAGCGAAUGGUGGAUGCCUUGACUGGUAAAGGCGAUGAAGGACGUACUAGACUGCGAUAAGCUACGGGGAGCUGUCAAGAAGCUUUGAUCCGUAGAUUUCCGAAUGGGGCAACCCAAUGUAUAGAGAUAUACAUUACCUAUAUAGGAGCGAACGAGGGGAAUUGAAACAUCUUAGUACCCUCAGGAAAAGAAAUCAAUAGAGAUUGCGUCAGUAGCGGCGAGCGAAAGCGCAAGAGGGCAAACCCAGUGCUUGCACUGGGGGUUGUAGGACUGCAAUGUGCAAGAGGUAAGUUUAGCAGAACAUUCUGGAAAGUAUAACCAUAGAGGGUGAUAGUCCCGUAUGCGAAAAACAAACCUUAGCUAGCAGUAUCCUGAGUAGGGCGGGACACGAGGAAUCCUGUCUGAAUCCGGGUCGACCACGAUCCAACCCUAAAUACUAAUACCAGAUCGAUAGUGCACAAGUACCGUGAGGGAAAGGUGAAAAGAACUGAGGUGAUCAGAGUGAAAUAGAACCUGAAACCAUUUGCUUACAAUCAUUCAGAGCCCUAUGUAGCAAUACAGGGUGAUGGACUGCCUUUUGCAUAAUGAGCCUGCGAGUUGUGGUGUCUGGCAAGGUUAAGCAAACGCGAAGCCGUAGCGAAAGCGAGUCUGAAUAGGGCGCUUAGUCAGAUGCUGCAGACCCGAAACGAAGUGAUCUAUCCAUGAGCAAGUUGAAGCUAGUGUAAGAACUAGUGGAGGACUGAACCCAUAGGCGUUGAAAAGCCCCGGGAUGACUUGUGGAUAGGGGUGAAAGGCCAAUCAAACUUCGUGAUAGCUGGUUCUCUCCGAAAUAUAUUUAGGUAUAGCGUUGUGUCGUAAUAUAAGGGGGUAGAGCACUGAAUGGGCUAGGGCAUACACCAAUGUACCAAACCCUAUCAAACUCCGAAUACCUUAUAUGUAAUCACAGCAGUCAGGCGGCGAGUGAUAAAAUCCGUCGUCAAGAGGGAAACAACCCAGACUACCAGCUAAGGUCCCUAAAUCUUACUUAAGUGGAAAACGAUGUGAAGUUACUUAAACAACCAGGAGGUUGGCUUAGAAGCAGCCAUCCUUUAAAGAAAGCGUAAUAGCUCACUGGUCUAGUGAUUUUGCGCGGAAAAUAUAACGGGGCUAAAGUAAGUACCGAAGCUGUAGACUUGCACACAACUUAGAUUAUUUAAGUUUAGAAUAUGAGAAACUAAGUUAUAUGUUUAGUUAUAUUUUUACUGAUUUUUAUAGAGUAAAGAUAGAAAUAAAACUUAGUAAAAUCAGUAAAAAUAUUCUUAGACUAAAGUUAAGUAGUUUAAGUUGUGUGCAAGUGGUAGGAGAGCGUUCUAUUUGCGUCGAAGGUAUACCGGUAAGGAGUGCUGGAGCGAAUAGAAGUGAGCAUGCAGGCAUGAGUAGCGAUAAUUAAUGUGAGAAUCAUUAACGCCGUAAACCCAAGGUUUCCUACGCGAUGCUCGUCAUCGUAGGGUUAGUCGGGUCCUAAGUCGAGUCCGAAAGGGGUAGACGAUGGCAAAUUGGUUAAUAUUCCAAUACCAACAUUAGUGUGCGAUGGAAGGACGCUUAGGGCUAAGGGGGCUAGCGGAUGGAAGUGCUAGUCUAAGGUCGUAGGAGGUUGUACAGGCAAAUCCGUAUAACAAUACUCCGAGAACUGAAAGGCUUUUUGAAGUCUUCGGAUGGAUAGAAGAACCCCUGAUGCCGUCGAGCCAAGAAAAGUUUCUAAGUUUAGCUAAUGUUGCCCGUACCGUAAACCGACACAGGUGGGUGGGAUGAGUAUUCUAAGGCGCGUGGAAGAACUCUCUUUAAGGAACUCUGCAAAAUAGCACCGUAUCUUCGGUAUAAGGUGUGGUUAGCUUUGUAUUAGGAUUUACUCCGAAAGCAAGGAAACUUACAACAAAGAGUCCCUCCCGACUGUUUACCAAAAACACAGCACUCUGCUAACUCGUAAGAGGAUGUAUAGGGUGUGACGCCUGCCCGGUGCUCGAAGGUUAAUUGAUGGGGUUAGCAUUAGCGAAGCUCUUGAUCGAAGCCCGAGUAAACGGCGGCCGUAACUAUAACGGUCCUAAGGUAGCGAAAUUCCUUGUCGGUUAAAUACCGACCUGCAUGAAUGGCGUAACGAGAUGGGAGCUGUCUCAAAGAGGGAUCCAGUGAAAUUGUAGUGGAGGUGAAAAUUCCUCCUACCCGCGGCAAGACGGAAAGACCCCGUGGACCUUUACUACAGCUUGACACUGCUAUUUGGAUAAGAAUGUGCAGGAUAGGUGGGAGGCUUUGAGUAUAUGACGCCAGUUGUAUAUGAGCCAUUGUUGAGAUACCACUCUUUCUUAUUUGGGUAGCUAACCAGCUUGAGUUAUCCUCAAGUGGGACAAUGUCUGGUGGGUAGUUUGACUGGGGCGGUCGCCUCCCAAAUAAUAACGGAGGCUUACAAAGGUUGGCUCAGAACGGUUGGAAAUCGUUCGUAGAGUAUAAAGGUAUAAGCCAGCUUAACUGCAAGACAUACAAGUCAAGCAGAGACGAAAGUCGGUCUUAGUGAUCCGGUGGUUCUGUGUGGAAGGGCCAUCGCUCAAAGGAUAAAAGGUACCCCGGGGAUAACAGGCUGAUCUCCCCCAAGAGCUCACAUCGACGGGGAGGUUUGGCACCUCGAUGUCGGCUCAUCGCAUCCUGGGGCUGGAGCAGGUCCCAAGGGUAUGGCUGUUCGCCAUUUAAAGCGGUACGCGAGCUGGGUUCAGAACGUCGUGAGACAGUUCGGUCCCUAUCUGCCGUGGGCGUAAGAAGAUUGAAGAGAUUUGACCCUAGUACGAGAGGACCGGGUUGAACAAACCACUGGUGUAGCUGUUGUUCUGCCAAGAGCAUCGCAGCGUAGCUAAGUUUGGAAAGGAUAAACGCUGAAAGCAUCUAAGCGUGAAGCCAACUCUAAGAUGAAUCUUCUCUAAGCUCUCUAGAAGACUACUAGUUUGAUAGGCUGGGUGUGUAAUGGAUGAAAGUCCUUUAGCUGACCAGUACUAAUAGAGCGUUUGGCUUAUCUUUAAUAAAGCAU